CUUCCUUUCAAGCAACCGGAACAAUUACAACCAAUGCGCAGGGUGAGCCGUAGAACCACUGGAGCGAGGAGAUGAGGAGCUGUUCGACUGGCGUGGGGCAGCGAAAAGAUCGCAUCUCAACAUUGCUGCUCAACCAGAUGGAAGUCAUCCCACUUAACGGCAGUACAAGAGAAUCAUUUGACAAUAUAAUAUAUCUAAUUGUAUCAUGUCAUUCAUCUGACUUCUUGACUUCUUUGUCUUGGAUCGUAGUAUAGAGCAUGGAUUUUGUUGUCUUGGAUCGUAGUAUAGAUCAUGGUAUAUGGCUCUUUGGAUUGUAGUAUAGAAUGGUGUUUGUUGUAUUGGUUCUCGUGUAUUAGUUUUUACAUUUUGGUAGGAUUUUGCAGGGUUUAUUGCUUGUAUUUUGUGUUGGGUGUAGAAAAAAAAGUCUAAUCUCUUCCUUAUUUUCUUGACAUCAAAACCAUCUGCGUACUCCUGCAUCAUACAUCAUUUCAUAGAGAGCAAAACUGUAAAAUUUAUUACUGUUAAGAAUGUUAAGCAUUUUUCCAAUCAAUUUAGUACUUCCUAUUCAUUUUAAAUAUGUAGUGAAAUCAUCCUAUUGUCUCUUAUGGAUUCAGUCCCUCACUGUUGAGUCAACCUAUGGACCUUUCAGGUAUUUAGUAUUAGGAAUUUUUUACAAUGAGCUUUUCAAAUUAGUCUGUCUUCAAAAUUGAGGGCUGUGUUCUGCCGAUAAAAUGUGAAGGAAGUUUAUAAUAUAUUUCCAUGGAAUUUUGAAGAGUUCAAAUUUAUUUAAUGGCAUAAAAGUUCAGACUAUCCUAAAUCUUGUAUGUAAACCCCCAUCAGGGUGUUGAGCACAUUUAGCAGAGUUAGCAUAUGCACCUUGAAUGAACUUGAUACUACCAUUUUCUGGACAUCUAUAUCAACGUUACUGUGCUCACUUGUAUCAUACAUCAUUAAGACCAAAGAGAAAAACUGUAAAAUGUAACUGUAAAUGGUAUUCGAGCUACUACGUAUUUUUUACUGAUAACUCAUAUGCUUGUAAAUUGUUUCAUUGGUAUUGGUUGUUCAGCAUUUCUCAAAUGAAUUAAUUACUUCCUAUUUAGCAAUCUGUGCAAAUUGUUCGACCAUUUAUUAAGUUUCAUAUUACUCUAGUUCAUGUUCUGAAACUGAAAUUAACCAUACUGUUAAAGUACUGUCUCGUGUGGAAUUGUGUGCUCCUCAUUAACAUGUCAGAUAAUUUUUGAUAUUUUGCAUUUGAGGCAAGGAACUCAACAAACUAGUUGGUACUGAAUGUGAAUGUAUGUAUCCUAUUGUGUCUUGGAAAUAUAAUUUAUUGGAAAUGCGA